GUAGGGUGCAAGCGUUAAUCGGAAUUACUGGGCGUAAAGCGUGCGCAGGCGGUUGUGUAAGACAGAUGUGAAAUCCCCGGGCUCAACCUGGGAACUGCAUUUGUGACUGCACAGCUGGAGUGCGGCAGAGGGGGAUGGAAUUCCGCGUGUAGCAGUGAAAUGCGUAGAUAUGCGGAGGAACACCGAUGGCGAAGGCAAUCCCCUGGGCCUGCACUGACGCUCAUGCACGAAAGCGUGGGGAGCAAACAGGAUUAGAUACCCUGGUAGUCCACGCCCUAAACGAUGUCAACUGGUUGUUGGGAAGGUUCCUUCUCAGUAACGUAGCUAACGCGUGAAGUUGACCGCCUGGGGAGUACGGCCGCAAGGUUG
rnacentral:rRNA from 1 species